rnacentral:rRNA from 1 species
GGUGAAAGAUGGGCCCGCGUCUGAUUAGCUAGUUGGUGGGGUAACGGCUCACCAAGGCGACGAUCAGUAGCCGACCUGAGAGGGUGAUCGGCCACAUUGGAACUGAGACACGGUCCAAACUCCUACGGGAGGCAGCAGUGGGGAAUAUUGCACAAUGGGCGAAAGCCUGAUGCAGCAACGCCGCGUGAACGAAGAAGGCCUUCGGGUCGUAAAGUUCUGUCCAAAGGGAAGAAAAGAAUGACGGUACCUAUGGAGGAAGCCCCGGCUAAAUACGUGCCAGCAGCCGCGGUAAUACGUAUGGGGCAAGCGUUAUCCGGAAUUAUUGGGCGUAAAGAGUGCGUAGGUGGUGGCUUAAGCGCAGGGUUUAAGGCAAUGGCUUAACUAUUGUUCGCCUUGCGAACUGGGUCACUUGAGUACAGGAGAGGAAAGCGGAAUUCCUAGUGUAGCGGUGAAAUGCAUAGAUAUUAGGAGGAACACCGGUGGCGAAGGCGGCUUUCUGGACUGCAACUGACACUGAGGCACGAAAGCGUGGGUAGCAAACAGGAUUAGAUACCCUGGUAGUCCACGCCGUAAACGAUGAGCACUAGGUGUCGGCCAAUAAAGGUCGGUGCCGCAGUUAACGCAUUAAGUGCUCCGCCUGGGG